GACGAACGCUGGCGGCGUGCUUAACACAUGCAAGUCGAACGAAGAGCGAUGGAAGCUUGCUUCUAUCAAUCUUAGUGGCGAACGGGUGAGUAACGCGUAAUCAACCUGCCCUUCAGAGGGGGACAACAGUUGGAAACGACUGCUAAUACCGCAUACGAUCCAACCUCGGCAUCGAGGCUGGAUGAAAGGUGGCCUCUAUUUAUAAGCUAUCACUGAAGGAGGGGAUUGCGUCUGAUUAGCUAGUUGGAGGGGUAACGGCCCACCAAGGCAAUGAUCAGUAGCCGGUCUGAGAGGAUGAACGGCCACAUUGGGACUGAGACACGGCCCAG
rnacentral:rRNA from 1 species